GCUGGGCGUGUCGGCACAUGCCUGUAAUCCCAGCUACUUAGGAGGCUGAGACAGGAGAAUUGUUUGAGCCUGGGAGGUCGAGGCUGUAGUGAACUGAGAUCACACCACUACACUCCAGUCUUGGUAACAGAGUAAGACCCUGUCUCAA
ensembl:misc_RNA Metazoa_SRP Metazoan signal recognition particle RNA